UGUUCGAGCGUCAUUGCAACCAACAAGCCUAAGCUUGGUAUUGGAUGUUACUAUACUAGGUGCAUCUUAAAAUCAUGAGCGGUGCUCUCAGCUUCAAGCGUAGUAAAUGUCUCGCUCUGGAGUCUGGAGUUGACACUGUCUGAACCCCUAAAUUACUAAGGUUUGACCUCGGAUCAGGUAGGGAUACCCGCUGAACUUAA
rnacentral:misc_RNA from 1 species